GACACAGACACACCAUAAGGAGAGAGAAUGGCAUUCACAUCAACAGUCGUGAGGAUAAAUGAGAUGGACUUGGGCUCAGCGGGGACAAAGGGCUGUCAGAGAAUGCCACAGCAAGCAAAGACACUGUCUGCCUACAGUUUGUAACUGACUUGAUCAGCUGACUCUGCUGCAAGCCAACUGGCUGUUGAAACAGCACUACUGCCACUUUUUUCCCCAUGGGCGUGUUCUCUGGGAUGUCCACUGAAGUAUCAGACGUGAUGUCAAACUCUGGACUGUUGUCGUUCUCAUCCAGAAUGGUGAUUGAAACCUGUCAAGAGCUCACCGUGACGCUGUCUAUCUUGAAGAGGGCGAGAGCUGCAGGCGACGUAUCAGGGUCGAAGCGGUAAGUCAACUGAUUCAAGUUGUCGGCUGACUGGGCCUGCACCUGGACCACCUCUGUCCCAGUGGCGA